GAGACUCUGUGCGCGUGCAUAUCAAUAAGCGGAGGAAAAGAAACUAACAAGGAUUCCCUAGUAACGGCGAGUGAAGCGGGAAGAGCUCAAAUUUGAAAUCUUAAAGGUUUUCCCUUGACGAAUUGUAGUUUAAAGAAGUGUUUUCUGUUGGAGUUUCGGUAAAAGUUCUUUGGAAUAGGACAUCAUAGAGGGUGAGAAUCCCGUAUUUGACCAUUAUUUCAGCUGUGUGAUACACUUUCAACGAGUCGGAUUGUUUGGGAAUGCAGUCCAAAAUGGGUGGUAAAUUUCAUCUAAAGCUAAAUAUUGGCGAGAGACCGAUAGCGAACAAGUACCGUGAGGGAAAGAUGAAGAGAACUUUGAAAAGAGAGUUAAACAGUACGUGAAAUUGUCAAAAGGGAAGCGUUUGACACCAGUGUUGUUUUCUCGAAAAAUCAAUUAAAAAUGGCAUUGAUUUUGUGUUGUAUUGACUUUAUCAGCUUUCUGCACUUUUUUCAUGUCUUUUUUAAUGCACUUUUCGUUUAACAAGUCAACAUCAAUUUCUUUUGCUGUAAAAGAGUCAUUGGAAGGUGGCUUUCUUUUCGGAGAAAGUGUUUAUAGCCUUUGACUUCUGCAGUCGGAGAGAUUGAGGUCUGCAGCGUAGAUCCUUCGGGGUUAGAUACAUUUGUGCUAAGUUAUAGCUUUUCAUAGACAACUUGUUGACUAUGUUAAGUCUUGUAAUUUACUCGCAGAUGCUAUUUUACCUACGCUUAGGAUGUUGAAGUCAUCGUAUCGCGC
rnacentral:rRNA from 1 species